rnacentral:rRNA from 1 species
GACGAACGCUGGCGGCGCGCUUAACACAUGCAAGUCGAGCGAAGCGGCGGACGGGUGAGUAACACGUGAGUAACCUGCCUUAGACAUUGGGAUAGCCUCGGGAAACCGGGAUUAAUACCAAAUGGUCUAAGAUGGACUCGCGUCCCAUUAGCUAGUUGGUGGGUAACGGCCCACCAAGGCGACGACGGGUAGCCGGCCUGAGAAGGUGAACGGCAACACUGGAACUGGGAGACGGACGGAACUCUGCGAGAGGAAGCAGUGGUGAAUAAUGCACACUGGGGGGAACUCUGAUGCUGCGACGCCGCGUGAACGAGGAAGGCUUUCGAGUCGAAAAGUUCUUUUAUUGGGGAAGCGGUACCAUAAGAAAAAGCCCCGGCUAACAACGUGCCAGCAGCCGCGGUAAUA